AAAAUCACUCUUUCAGCAAAAAUUCAAACAAAUAAUGCGAAAACCCAGAGAUGCGAAUCUUCAAGUACUAGAAGAAGGAGAAUUAAAAGCUUUGCUAGUAUUUUACUUGUUUUUUUAAACUAACAACUUGAAUUGGACUGAACAGUAGAAGACCGAUUGACGUCAGUGACGAAGGCGCAUGCGCACGCUCAACCCACAUCGAAGACUUUUCUGUGAAAACUAGCUUUAUGGCUAUAUCACGUAAUGACCAUAGCGGUCACAGGCCAAUGACAAGGCUCUUUUAAAGUACUUAACUUUAACCGGAAGUUGGUCACAGGAAGUUUACAGGAAGAUCUAAAAAUUGCUGUGUUGCGAAAGCACAGAAAGACCACAAAAAGUUUACGGAUGAUCGAUCCAACGAUCUGACGAUCGAGUGACACAGAAGUCCCUCCUAUAACUCGUAAAUGCGUUGCAAGCAUUCACGAGUUAAAAAGGGGAAAAAAAUAUCUGCUAUCUGAGCCUCGGUGUGUUCUUAUCAUGUUCUUAAAAUUUGGUGAAAUCUCAGGCUGGACGUUCUUGUGGAAAAGGUUUUUAUAAAGAAGAUCGGUUUUCGAGGAAAAUAAUUGUAUCCAAUUCUGAUGCUAUUUAGUAGACUCUCUACUGGGGAACAACAUCAAUAUCAUUGACAUUGUCGCCGUUAGUCACGUUACAAAACACCACUUGAUCACACAUCACAACAAAAUAGACAGUCUGUUUUGUUUGUUGUUGUUUUUUUACUUUUGUUUGAGAAUCUUUCAAUUGUCAUGGAGAUGUUUCAGUAUUGAAUUCACUGCUUCACCUGCAUUUAAGUGAAAUUAACACAUUUUCCGCAUUAGAUACCUUUACUACUAAGUCAAGAAAGUUUAAGUACAUUCUUAACAGAGUUGUCAUAUUUCUCCUUUAAAUAAUUCAUGAUCCUUUAAAAUGGACGAUCAAUAACAUGCUUAAGGACCAUUAGAAGAAGCUAUU